AAAAAUAUUUUUUAAAAGUUUUGAACAUUUCAUCAUUUUCUAAAUGAAAAAUUCCAGUUUUCCACUUCAAAAUGAUUUUUGUUUGGUAAUUUAAGAUAAUUACAGUUUUUAAACAUUUUUAAAUAGUUAAAAUCAAAAUGAAACAUUGAAGUUUUCUAAAACAAAACAUGUUGAUGAACCCAAAUUGAUUUUUUCUUCUUUUCAGGUUUUCAGUUCAUGAAAAUUUUUGAGAUUUUUUUCUUUUUUCACAGUUCAGGAUUGGAGCACUUUUUGAUAUCUCAACUUUUCAUGGCAUGAAAAAACUGUUUCCUUACCAGCUUUUCUGGGGGUAUGUUUCACAACUAGCAUACUGCAAAACAUCAUGUGCUAUCAAUGCACAAUGACAAUCCAUACACUGUUACAGUAUGGAACAUCAUUGUUAGACUUCUUCACUGUCCAUCAAUAUGACUAUUACAAUGAACAGCAAGAGCAUCUCUGACCAGUCUGACUGCUACCAUUUAUUUAACCUUUUAUCAGCUACCAGCAAUAUGAAGCUAACAACGAAGAAUGAUGCAAAUUCAAUGAUCCUAUUGACUGAACUGUGGAAUUUUCUCCUUGAGAGAGAGAGAGGUUGAAUGCACUUAUGGAAAAAGAAAGAAGAUCUCUCGGCAGCUUUUGUGCUAUCUUUGUUCUCUGACGAA
rnacentral:lncRNA from 1 species